CGUUUUUNAUGUUAGGCCCGUCACAAAAUACACAAAAUAGUUAUUUUUUGAAGGAAAGCACAUCUUGGACAGUGUAAAAAAGCUGACGACAGUAACGCUAUGACACAGGGAAAUAUGUGCGAAUUGCUUUUAAGUAUUUAUAUGCUUUUAUUUUCGAAA